ACCGGAAACCGACACUUCCUGCUUUGCGAGUUUUUGCACUAAGGACCAAUGUCUCUCUUUUCAACAUCUUUGCUUAAUUUGCCAACUUUUCUUUCACUGCUGAGGAGGAAAUCGCAGCGGCGAAUUCUCGAACUAAUAAACUUAAAAGGAUAAAAGUUCUUCCAUGAAGAAAAUCUCCACAGCUGUCAAGACUGCCCACUACUCCCAACUCCAGCUGCCAAGUGGUCCUCCUGUACUGGCCCGCACAAGAGAUUUACAAAGAUGACACAGACAAAGAACACAGGGAAUCCAUCCUGAACCUGCCAGCGAGGUGGUGGUGGUGCGAAAGCCCAAAACUGUGGUGAAAAGAUGUUUGCACUCCACGCUUUACAGAGCUUUCACAGGACCACUUCCAGAUCCUGACAUCCUGGCAUCGGGAGAAAAACAGCACCAGCUGGAGUCUCAACCACUUAUCACACUUAUCCUAGAGAUGGUCUCUCAGCUUUGGAGCUGGUACCAUCCAGACUUGGUCCUGUGCCACAGGGCUCACUGAGGUCUCACCAGUGCCCACCUGAGAAGUCCUGUGUAGCAUCAUUCUGCACCACAUGGCUCCAGACCUCCCUGCUCUUCCUUCGAUGCUGCAUAGUCUUCCCAACAUGUGUUUUGUGCCCACACUUGAUCAACUUAUGCAUCUUCAGUCUCUGCAAGUGUCACAUGAAGUACAGGCCAGAACCAGGGAGCAGUCCAGAUGUCCCGCGUGGGUACAGCUUUGACAACCAAAGCUUACUGCGAGCUGUUUCCGCUUUCCGUGUUGCUUACAGAGGAAGUGCAGAGGAGGAGUCUGCUGACAGCACUGACAGCUCAGAUGAUCAGCUAACACUAAACAAUAACUGUUGAACGGGUAUGGUGUGAUGAAUGGAUUGAUGAUUGAUCAGAUGAAGUCUAAACUGGACAUGUUUUACUUCAACACCUUCAUCCAUGGUUUAUAUCAAUGCAGC